rnacentral:rRNA from 1 species
AUUGAACGCUGGCGGCAGGCCUAACACAUGCAAGUCGAGCGGAUGAAGGGAGCUUGCUCCUGGAUUCAGCGGCGGACGGGUGAGUAAUGCCUAGGAAUCUGCCUGGUAGUGGGGGAUAACGUCCGGAAACGGGCGCUAAUACCGCAUACGUCCUGAGGGAGAAAGUGGGGGAUCUUCGGACCUCACGCUAUCAGAUGAGCCUAGGUCGGAUUAGCUAGUUGGUGGGGUAAAGGCCUACCAAGGCGACGAUCCGUAACUGGUCUGAGAGGAUGAUCAGUCACACUGGAACUGAGACACGGUCCAGACUACUACGGGAGGCAGCAGUGGGGAAUAUUGGACAAUGGGCGAAAGCCUGAUCCAGCCAUGCCGCGUGUGUGAAGAAGGUCUUCGGAUUGUAAAGCACUUUAAGUUGGGAGGAAGGGCAGUAAGUUAAUACCUUGCUGUUUUGACGUUACCAACAGAAUAAGCACCGGCUAACUUCGUG